GAUGAACGCUGGCGGCGUGCCUAAUACAUGCAAGUCGAGCGAACGGACGAGAAGCUUGCUUCUCUGAUGUUAGCGGCGGACGGGUGAGUAACACGUGGAUAACCUACCUAUAAGACUGGGAUAACUUCGGGAAACCGGAGCUAAUACCGGAUAAUAUUUUGAACCGCAUGGUUCAAAAGUGAAAGACGGUCUUGCUGUCACUUAUAGAUGGAUCCGCGCUGCAUUAGCUAGUUGGUAAGGUAACGGCUUACCAAGGCAACGAUGCAUAGCCGACCUGAGAGGGUGAUCGGCCACACUGGAACUGAGACACGGUCCAGACUCCUACGGGAGGCAGCAGUAGGGAAUCUUCCGCAAUGGGCGAAAGCCUGACGGAGCAACGCCGCGUGAGUGAUGAAGGUCUUCGGAUCGUAAAACUCUGUUAUUAGGGAAGAACAUAUGUGUAAGUAACUGUGCACAUCUUGACGGGACCUAAUCAGAAAGCCACGGCUACUACGUG
rnacentral:rRNA from 1 species